rnacentral:rRNA from 1 species
GUCGAACGAUGAUCCGGUGCUUGCACCGGGGAUUAGUGGCGAACGGGUGAGUAACACGUGAGUAACCUGCCCUUAACUCUGGGAUAAGCCUGGGAAACUGGGUCUAAUACCGGAUAUGACUGACCGUCGCAUGGUGGUUGGUGGAAAGCUUUUUGUGGUUUUGGAUGGACUCGCGGCCUAUCAGCUUGUUGGUGAGGUAAUGGCUUACCAAGGCGACGACGGGUAGCCGGCCUGAGAGGGUGACCGGCCACACUGGGACUGAGACACGGCCCAGACUCCUACGGGAGGCAGCAGUGGGGAAUAUUGCACAAUGGGCGCAAGCCUGAUGCAGCGACGCCGCGUGAGGGAUGACGGCCUUCGGGUUGUAAACCUCUUUCAGUAGGGAAGAAGCGAAAGUGACGGUACCUGCAGAAGAAGCGCCGGCUAACUACGUGCCAGCAGCCGCGGUAAUACGUAGGGCGCAAGCGUUAUCCGGAAUUAUUGGGCGUAAAGAGCUCGUAGGCGGUUUGUCGCGUCUGCCGUGAAAGUCCGGGGCUCAACUCCGGAUCUGCGGUGGGUACGGGCAGACUAGAGUGAUGUAGGGGAGACUGGAAUUCCUGGUGUAGCGGUGAAAUGCGCAGAUAUCAGGAGGAACACCGAUGGCGAAGGCAGGUCUCUGGGCAUUAACUGACGCUGAGGAGCGAAAGCAUGGGGAGCGAACAGGAUUAGAUACCCUGGUAGUCCAUGCCGUAAACGUUGGGCACUAGGUGUGGGGGACAUUCCACGUUUUCCGC